GCUGGGCAUGGUGGUGCGUGCUUGUAGUCUCAGCUACUCUGGAGGCAGGAGGAUGGCUUGUGUCCAGGACUUCUGGGCUGUAGUGUGCUAUGCCAGUUGGGGGUCCACACUAUGUUCUGCAUUAAUAUGUUGACCUCCCAAGAGCGGGGAACCACCAGGUUGCCUAAGGAGGAGUGAAUCAACCCAGGACAGAAACAAAGCAAGUCAAAACUUCCCUGCUGAUCAGUUGUGGGAUCAAGCCUGUGAAUAGCCGCUGCAAUCCAGCCCAGGCAACAUAGCAAGAUCCUGU
ensembl:misc_RNA Metazoa_SRP Metazoan signal recognition particle RNA